UACGGAGGAUGCAAGCGUUAUCCGGAAUUAUUGGGCGUAAAGCGUCCGUAGGUGGUGGUGCAAGUCAGCUGUUAAAGCGUGGAGCUUAACUCCGAAUCGGCGGUGGAAACUGAACAGCUAGAGUGCAGUAGGGGUAGAGGGAAUUCCCAGUGUAGCGGUGAAAUGCGUAGAGAUUGGGAAGAACACCGGUGGCGAAAGCGCUCUACUGGACUGCAACUGACACUCAGGGACGAAAGCUAGGGGAGCGAAUGGG
rnacentral:rRNA from 1 species